GGGGUUGUGACUCAGUGGUAGAGCACUCGCCUAGCAUGUGUGAGGCCCUGUGUUUGAUCCUCAGCACCACA
rnacentral:tRNA from 1 species